AUGGUGAUUCUUAUCCCAAUAGAGUUGUGCUGUAGCUGAAUAAAUGUAUCAACAAAGUUACCUGGACACACUGCCGGUUUGUUUUGAUUGUACGCUGCCGCUCAUGAAAAAAUAUCAGAGUGAAAAAUUUGUGGCGGUCUAAAUAGGUUUUAGCUUCGAAGCGCUUCACAGUUUGAAAUGAAUAAAGUUCGUUUUGCCGUUGUUCAGACCCAAGAAGCACAAGGCCCUGUGCUUUCGGUGGUUCCGCAGCAGUGGGUGAAAAGUGACGGGUUGUUGUGGCCAAACAAAAAUGCUGCAUCGCUUUCGAAAGACGCCUCAUCGAAGCCAGCAGCUUCAUGGACAAAAUUUCCCUGCA